rnacentral:rRNA from 1 species
AUGAGGCAUUGGCUUUGUUGCAAUGGCCAGAGCGGUGACGACGACGACAGACAUGAGGUGGAACAUUCCAAAGCUCAGGGGAAUAAGAUAGACGGCAAGCUAAAAUCUUCGAAACCUGCUGACCAACCUCAGCCAGAUAUUUCCCCUCCUACAAUUGAUGUCCCAGAACUGUCAUUUGAGGACUUGAAAGAAAAGACUGACAAUUUUGGAUCGAGUUCCCUGAUUGGUGAAGGUUCAUAUGGACGAGUAUAUCAUGCUACCAUGGAUGAUGGCAGGCAAGCGGCUAUUAAGAAAUUUGAUGCAUCUGAAAAUGAGCCCAACGAUGAAUUCUUGAAACAGGUCUCACUUGUAUCAAGGCUAAAACAUGAAAAUCUUGUGGAGAUGCUGGGCUACUAUGUGGAGGGCAACUAUCGUAUACUGGCAUAUGAAUUUGCAACAAUGGGUUCUCUUCACGAUGUUCUGCAUGGAAGAAAAGGAGUUCAAGGUGCGCAGCCUGGCCCUGUGCUUGACUGGAUGCAGAGAGUCAAAAUUGCUAUCGAGGCGGCAAAAGGUAUAGAGUACCUACAUGAGAAGGUUCAGCCUUCAAUCAUCCAUCGGGACAUCAGAUCAAGCAAUGUGCUUCUGUUUGAGGACUUCAAGGCGAAAAUUGCGGACUUCAACCUCUUAAAUCAAGCUCCUGAUAUGGCAGCACGUCUCCAUUCGACUCGUGUAUUAGGGACAUUUGGAUAUCAUGCUCCAGAAUAUGCUAUGACUGGCCAGCUGACACAGAAGAGUGACGUCUACAGCUUUGGCGUGGUUCUUCUUGAACUUCUGACUGGAAGGAAACCGGUUGAUCACACAAUGCCUCGGGGGCAGCAAAGUUUAGUCACUUGGGCUACUCCAAGAUUGAGUGAAGAUAAGGUGAAGCAAUGCGUAGAUCCUCGGUUGAAGGGAGAAUAUCCUCCAAAGGGAGUUGCUAAGCUUGGUGCGGUGGCAGCUCUGUGCGUGCAGUAUGAAGCAGAGUUCAGGCCCAACAUGAGCAUCGUCGUCAAGGCGCUCUCGCCUCUGCUACAACAAAGAGCAGCAGCGCCGGCAGCCUCUGAGCUGGCCCCGGCACCCGGGGCUUAG